CUACACGAAGCCGGAAUCGCUAGUAAUCGCGAAUCAGAAUGUCGCGGUGAAUACGUUCCCGGGUCUUGUACACACCGCCCGUCACACCAUGGGAGUCGGAAAUGCCCGAAGUCAGUGACCCAACCGCAAGGAGGGAGCUGCCGAAGGCAGGUCCGGUAACUGGGGUGAAGUCGUAACAAGGUAAC
rnacentral:rRNA from 1 species